GUGAUUAAAUCGAGCGUGUCUUCAUUGACCGCUCACCCUUCUCACCAUCCACAUACGCCUGUGCACUGUUUAGCCUGAGCCGGUUUUCCGGUCCAGGUUAUCAUUUCAUACAAACUCUAGUCUUAUGAAUGUAAACGUUUUAAUAACAUAAUA
rnacentral:misc_RNA from 1 species